CCUACGGGUGGCUGCAGUGAGGAAUAUUGGUCAAUGGGCGAAAGCCUGAACCAGCCAAGUCGCGUGAAGGAUGACGGCCCUACGGGUUGUAAACUUCUUUUGUCAGGGAGCAAUUGAGUCCACGUGUGGGCCGAGCGAGAGUACCUGAAGAAAAAGGAUCGGCUAACUCCGUGCCAGCAGCCGCGGUAAUACGGAGGGUGCGAGCGUUUUCCGGAUUUAUUGGGUUUAAGGGGGCCGGUGGCGGAAUAUCAAGUCAGCGGUAAAAAUUCGGGGCUCAACCCCGACGUGCCGUUGAAACUGGAGUUCUUGAGUGGGCGAGAGGUAUGCGGAAUGCGUGGUGUAGCGGUGAAAUGCAUAGAUAUCACGAAGAACUCCGAUUGCGAAGGCAGCAUACCGGCGCCCAACUGACGCUGAGGCACGAAAGCGUGGGUAUCGAACAGGAUUAGAUACCCUAGUAGUC
rnacentral:rRNA from 1 species